rnacentral:lncRNA from 1 species
UAUGAUCCAAUGAUGUGUUGCCAUCAUAUGAUGUUUUGAGUAGAUUUCUUUUGUCCUUUGGGUUGACUAAUGACCUAUAUUGGUUUGAGUUGUAUGUUUAUUUUGGUGUUGUCCUAUGGUGCCUUAUGUGCCACACACACGUGAAGGAUUCCCUAUUUAAGGUGUUGCAAUACGUUCUUGAUUCGCUUAUAGUGGGUUGCUUGAGUGAUAGAAGCAUAAACCCAAGUAAGGGGAUUGUUGCGUGUGGGAUUAAGGGGACUUGAUGCUUUGAUGCUAUGGUUGGGUUUUACCAUAAUGAUCUUUAGUAUUUGUGGAUGCUUCCUAGAGUUCCAAUCAUAAGUGAAUAUGAUCCAAGUAGAGAAAGUGUGUUAGCUUGUGCCUCUCCCUCAUAUAAAAUUGCAAUAAUGAUUACCGAUCUUGUUAACAACUGCCUAGGACAAUUCCGCACACCGCCCAUCAUUAUUCCACACUCGUUGUUUGUAAUAUAUAUUGUAAUAUAUUCUAACUUUAUGAAAACAAGACCUAUUUAUUUAUUCUAGUUCUCCAUUAUCCUGCAUAGCUAUUCCCUUCAUGCCACGUAGUUUUAUUUCUCGUUUCUAGUUGGAAGGAAACGUUCGACGUACAUAGAGUCGUAUCAUUGGCAGAUAGGACUUCAGGGAAUAUUGAUCUUUGUUGGUAAUAUUCCCUAG